GAAGAACAGAACCAGUGAAGAUCAACCUUCUAGACAUGGCUCAAGGUAGGAGAUACACCACCUCUGACUUUUAGGGCAAGGGUUAGCCAUCGGAUUUUGGACAAACAUUAAGAGUCUAUUCAUUACUCAUCCAUAGCUAUAUGUCUACUACUUGCUCCUUAUGUUUUCCUUGUGCUGUUGAAGUGAACUUUAAACUGGUGGUGACUGCUGAUGGCAAGAGUAUUGAAUACAAACCUACUACGGACUGAGACCAGCGACUCCUGUGGGCGUUGAAUGAUUUGAAAGAUUCAGUCUCAAGCUUCAAUUUCGAAUGUGGAAGCAAAUUUGGAAUGCCACCCUAUUUGACCCGGGUGACUUUUGGUAAUAAUAUUAUUACCAAAACUGAGAACAGCUUCUGGCAAGUUCUGGUCAAAAACCACAACAUGAUCACACCUGUUGGACUCUGCAACUACCGUGUCCAGGACAGUGACGUGAUCAUCCUGCGCCACAUGACCGUGUGAUCCUGACUGUGGCGCCAUUUUCCUUCAGGGUCCUGAAUAACACUGAGUGCUGCUCGACACUCAUUAAACAUGAGGAUCAUCUAAUCUGGAGAUAUCAAA